rnacentral:rRNA from 1 species
GAUGAAUGCUGGCGGCGUGCCUAACACAUGCAAGUCGAGCGGCAGCGAGGGGUGCUUGCACCCUGUCGGCGAGCGGCGAACGGCUGAGUAACGCGUAGGAAUUUGCCCCAAAGUGAGGAAUAACUGCCCGAAAGGGUAGCUAAUGCCGCCUAUGGUCUUCGGAUUAAAGGAUUUAUCCGCUUUGGGAGCAGCCUGCGUUGGAUUAGGUGGUUGGUAGGGUAAUGGCCUACCAAGCCGACGAUCCAUAGCUGGUCUGAGAGGAAGAUCAGCCAGACUGGAACGGAGACACGGUCCAGACUCCUACGGGAGGCAGCAGUGAGGAAUCUUCCACAAUGGGCGAAAGCCUGAUGGAGCAACGCCGCGUGAAGGAUGAAGGCCUUCGAGUUGUAAACUUCUUUUAUGAGUGAAGAAUAUGACGGUAACUAAUGAAUAAGCACCGGCUAACUUCGUG